AUUGAACGCUGGCGGCAGGCUUAACACAUGCAAGUCGAGCGGGGGAAGGUAGCUUGCUACUGGACCUAGCGGCGGACGGGUGAGUAAUGCUUAGGAAUCUGCCUAUUAGUGGGGGACAACAUCUCGAAAGGGAUGCUAAUACCGCAUACGUCCUACGGGAGAAAGCAGGGGAUCUUCGGACCUUGCGCUAAUAGAUGAGCCUAAGUCGGAUUAGCUAGUUGGUGGGGUAAAGGCCUACCAAGGCGACGAUCUGUAGCGGGUCUGAGAGGAUGAUCCGCCACACUGGGACUGAGACACGGCCCAGACUCCUACGGGAGGCAGCAGUGGGGAAUAUUGGACAAUGGGGGGAACCCUGAUCCAGCCAUGCCGCGUGUGUGAAGAAGGCCUUAUGGUUGUAAAGCACUUUAAGCGAGGAGGAGGCUACUCUAGUUAAUACCUAGAGAUAGUGCACGUUACUCGCAGAAUAAGCACCGGCUAACUCUGUGCCAGCCGCCGCGGUAA
rnacentral:rRNA from 1 species